rnacentral:rRNA from 1 species
UACGAAGGGGGCGAGCGUUAUUCGGAAUCACUGGGCGUAAAGCGUGCGUAGGCUGCCUUAAAAGUUGGAAGUGAAAGCCCAGGGCUCAACCCUGGAAUUGCUCUCAAUACUGUAAGGCUCGGAUUUGGGAGAGGAUAGCGGAAUUGUCAGUGUAGCAGUGAAAUGCGUAGAUAUUGACAGGAACACCAGUGGCGCAAGCGGCUAUCUGGACCAACAUCGACGCUGAGGCACGAAAGCGUGGGGAUCAAACAGG